AGGGUUCGAUUCUGGCUCAGGAUGAACGCUAGCUACAGGCUUAACACAUGCAAGUCGAGGGGCAGCAUUGGGGUAGCAAUACUUCAGAUGGCGACCGGCGCACGGGUGAGUAACACGUAUCCAACCUGCCGCUUACUCGGGGAUAGCCUUUCGAAAGAAAGAUUAAUACCCGAUGGUAUAAAGAGUUCGCAUGUUCUCUUUAUUAAAGAAUUUCGGUAAGCGAUGGGGAUGCGUUCCAUUAGAUAGUUGGCGGGGUAACGGCCCACCAAGUCUACGAUGGAUAGGGGUUCUGAGAGGAAGGUCCCCCACAUUGGAACUGAGACACGGUCCAAACUCCUACGGGAGGCAGCAGUGAGGAAUAUUGGUCAAUGGACGAGAGUCUGAACCAGCCAAGUAGCGUGAAGGAUGACUGCCCUAUGGGUUGUAAACUUCUUUUAUAAGGGAAUAAAGUGAGGGACGUGUCCCUUUUUGUAUGUACCUUAUGAAUAAGGAUCGGCUAACUCCGUGCCAGCAGCUGC
rnacentral:rRNA from 1 species